rnacentral:pre_miRNA from 9 species
CUAAGACUAAGAUAAAGUUAACUCAAAUUUGUACGGAGUUGGAACGCUUGCCUACGUUUGCCGCUAGGGGCGCUGUUCCAACUGCAUACAAUUUUGAGUUAACUGUAACGCUAUCGA